rnacentral:lncRNA from 1 species
AUAUCCAUACUUUCGUAAUUGAAUGGUAGAAAUCAAGUUUUUCCGAAAACCCGGAACAUAGAGUACAUCUCUUAAAACCAAAACAUGUUCAUCAAUUAAUAAAUUCACAUCUCCAAUUGAAACAACGGGUAAGCUUGCUUCAUUUCCCAUGGAGAGUGCUAGCUCGCCUUUACUAAGCUCCCUUGUCCGCAGGAACCCCUGCAAGGUGUAACAAACAUGGUCAGUUGCACCCGAGUCAACAACCCAUUGAUGGGAAGAUCUCGAAACUGAAUAUGUUUCCGUUACUAGAGCAAUAGAAAUACCUUGAGCUUUCUUCAUCAAGGGACAGUCGGAUUUCCAAUGUCCUACUUGUUGACACUUGAAGCAUUUCCCUUUCCCCUUUGGCUUGCCAACGCCUCCGGUCGGGCCUAGCUUCUUCUUGCUCCCACCUUUUUCUUGGCCUUUCUUGCCAUGGGGCCCUUUCUUCUUCCUACCUUUCGGUGGAAAACUGGGUCCUGUGGCAGUGGCCAAAGCCUGUGGACUCUUUCCCAUGACCCCCUCGGCCGCUACCAACUCAUUAAGCAGUUCAUUUAGAGUGAACUUUUUCUUGCCCAUUACGGCAUUGAGUCGGAAGUUUUCG